rnacentral:rRNA from 1 species
GACGAACGCUAGCGGCGUGCCUAAUACAUGCAAGUCGAGCGGAUUUGUCCUUCGGGACAAUUUAGCGGCGGACGGGUGAGCAACACGUAGGCAACCUGCCUGUAAGACCGGGAUAACUAUCGGAAACGAUAGCUAAGACCGGAUAGCUGGUUCUCUCGCAUGAGAGAAUCAUGAAACACGGAGCAAUCUGUGGCUUGCAGAUGGGCCUGCGGCGCAUUAGCUAGUUGGUAGGGUAACGGCCUACCAAGGCGACGAUGCGUAGCCGACCUGAGAGGGUGAACGGCCACACGGGGACUGAGACACGGCCCAGACUCCUACGGGAGGCAGCAGUAGGGAAUCUUCCGCAAUGGACGCAAGUCUGACGGAGCAACGCCGCGUGAGUGAUGAAGGUUUUCGGAUCGUAAAGCUCUGUUGCCCUAGACGAACGGCAAGGGGAAUAACUGCCCUUUGUGUGACGGUAUAGGAGAAGAAAGCCCCGGCUAACUACGUGCCAGCCGCCGCAGUAACAC